UACGUAGGGCGCAAGCGUUACUCGGAAUCACUGGGCAUAAAGGGCGUGUAGGCGGGUGUGUAAGUCCGGUGUGAAAUCCCUCGGCUCAACCGAGGAAGGCCAUUGGAUACUGCGCAUCUUGAGUGCGGGAGGGGAGAGUGGAACUCUUGGUGGAGCGGUGAAAUGCGUAGAUAUCAAGAGGAACGCCGGUGGCGAAAGCGGCUCUCUGGCCCGUAACUGACGCUGAGGCGCGAAAGCUAGGGGAGCAAACGGG
rnacentral:rRNA from 1 species